AUGCCAGCUGCCUCUGGUCUGCAGCAUCGACCUCUUACACCUUUCAAAGUGGCCCGUGUGCAGUUACCCAGCUCACACCAUUCCUCUACAGACAGUGACUCCUGGUUCGACGGACCCAUUCAGGGGAGAAUGCCCAAGCUUGAUGGAUCCAGAUUACAUGUUGAUACCAGACAUAUAAAUGCUUCCUCAGGAAGUCCGUCGAGUCCGUCCCGCACAAAAGAUGUCUGUCACCACACCCAUAGGCGGUUUGCCCUCCUCCCCCCUGGGAGGCGCUACGGGUUCCUCCGCUCCCGGACCAGCAGGAUCAGGAACCGCUUCCUUCAUGCCGCUGUCACCCUGCUGAACUCCCCAGUCCCCCCCC
ensembl:lncRNA